AUUGGAUGAUCAUAUCCAAAUUCUUCUUCAGCCUGACUCAGCAAGUCUUGGAAUGAAGGGUUGUUCAAGUAUGAUAUCGGAAUCACAAACCGCUUUCUUUGGCUUUUCCCAACAUAGACUGCAAAGUAGCCCUUGGGAACAUCGACGGCUCUUGAAGCAGCCUGGUUUGAGAUCGAGUGUCGAUGAUUUUUCUUUCCGGGCAAACGAAAACCCAUGGUGGUCUAGAGGAAGAACAAGCAAAAGAGUGCAAAGAAAUUGUAGAACAAUGGAAGUGGAUAAAUGGUGAAGAACUAAUGUGAGACUUGUGUUGGUUGUGUAACCAAUUGAGUUUAUAUAGAUGAAAAGGGUAGGAUAUUGGCCAUGAGGAUUCACAUGGUUUGGUCUGUCCACUUUUUUGUUUUUGUGGCCUUUCAUCUGGUAUUGGCCAAACCUGUAACCUUCCAGACAAGCAUCUUGCCCUACCUCAUUUAGAUAAAACCAAAGUAGCCUAUAGAUGAUAUCAUGAUACAAAUUCAAAAACAAAGAAAAUAAAAUAAAAAUCCUACAAAGUUAAACAAAAAAUAGUAAAUACUAGUAAUGCUUUGUGUAUAGAAAUGUUUCAACACAGGGCCGGCCUUGGGCGAUGCAGGUGGAAUGUUUGCACAAGGCCGGCCAUGGGGCGAUGUAGGUGGAGCGUUUGCAUAGGGCCCUCAUAAAUAAAGCCCCCUAAAAUCUCAAGACAGGCUACGUUUUAGCAUGUUUACAAUACUUUUAACUUGUUAGCUCUACACCACUUGUCUCGUUUUCUGUCACUUGGAGCUUGAAUGUAUGUUGAAGGCGGGUAGAUUAACACCACGGGGCUAUGUUAGCAUAGUUCCAAUUUCUCUCGGUGGUUUGAACAUAUAGGUACCAUUUCGCUAAGAUGGUUUUGUAAGGAUAGGUUCUAACCGUGAAUUUAACACCGAAAUCCACAGAGAAUCCAUACGGAAACUUUACUUUAGAGUACCUGAAUGUUAUCCAUGUAUUAUUCGGAUUUGUUUCUGGACAUAUUUCAUGAGGAAUCACAUGGCGUUGUCUCACAACUAAUGAUAUAAGACAUGACAGACUUCAUUCAACUUCACAAUUAUGUGAUAUAUCAUGGCCUACUACCAAUGAACACAUACUGGCUGCAGAAAUUAUUCCACUUUGUAUAUACCACCAGCUGAAUACAACAUAUAACCUAGAGAACACAGGAACUAGGGACUCUAAUAAGAUAGAUAAUUGCUUCCAGCAAACAGAAGUUCUCAGCCCCGGUUUUUCGAAAUGUCAACCGGACAAGGAACAAGCUAGGUUAUCGCCCCAUGUGAUGUGUACUGUGACAAAAACAUGGCGAUUAAACUUGGGGCCAGAAUUGAAGUUGAUGGUAAGGUUGAUGGGAAGCACAGAACCAACAUAAGCUGACAUGAUAUCUUUCUUUGAUAUGUAGAUACACAAGAUACAGUUUUCUUUUUUCUUUUCUUGUUUUUUUCUUCUCUCCAUUUAGUCAAGUUUGAUAUGCGAAGGGAAGCGAUUUUCACACCCUGCGUAUUAUGAUUUAUUGGCCAUACAUGGAAGAUUAGGCUUAUCCAAGAAGAUCAGGUACUUUAGUCUACAAGACAUUUGAAUUAGGGUUUGACAGAGAAAUGCGAGGGGUAGGGUAGGGUAGGGUAGGGUUGGGUAGGCAUGAUUUUGCAACUUGCUACCUUUAUACAUCAGAUUAAUUGACCGAUCAACUUUUGAUAAAUUAGUGAGAGGACAGAAGAAUCUGAUUACUAUAUAUCAUCCGUAUUAUUUCCAUCCCUAUAUAUGCUGCAAAGUAGAUACACAAAUCUUCACCCCAAGUUUUCACAUCCUCUAUUAUCACUUAAAUUUCUCAUUAAAAAUCUCUCAAUUAUUGAAGGCAUAUCAAUAUUCCACAUAAAACAUGGGUUUCUAUCAAUCAUCGGGCGAUCUUUCUUGACGGGUAAGCAAUCGAGGAUGAGUACAGCGAAUGUCCCCAAAGGCCACUUUGCUGUAUAUGUGGGAGAGGAACAGAAAAAGAGACUUGUAGUACCAAUAUCAUACUUGAACCACUAGUGGUUCAAAGACUUGCUAAGCUGCAGUGAAGAAAAGUUUGGAUUCACUCAUCCGAUGGGUGGCAUCACUAUUCCGUGCACUGAAGAGGCCGUCACUGGUCGCAGUUCUUGUUUGCAUUCCUUCUAAUGUCAUGGCCAACAUCACUAAACAAAACUCUUCAAUUUUGUUUCCUGAAGGGUUGACAAUACGCCCAUUGUAAAUAUCCCCAUUGUAUUCUGAUACUGAGAAAAUAAUUUAACUUUAAUAUUUCUUUAUAUUAGCUCUCGUUCAUUAGUUCCUUGCCUAUUGUAUGUAUUUUAGCUAAAUAGUGAUUUUUAGGGUUCUUAUUCACAGACUGCAGAGACAACUAGGAAACAUUUGUAUAGACUACAAUAAUCUAGUCCUCAUAAUCCACUAGUGACACAGCUUCUGGCGAUAUACUUAACUGGUAUUGCUAGGGUGACUAAAUCUGUAGACUAAAUUUUGUAAACUAAAUAGCAUGAAAGUUGAUGGUUGAAUUAUUAUUUAAGUUUUGAUUAACAUGCUUAUUUUUAUUGGUGACACAUCUUUAGUUUGCAAUUUUAGUCUUUUUGUCUACCUAGCUUUACUCUAAUUAAUUAUAUUACUACAUUUUGGUGGUGUGUGUGUGUGUGUGUGUGUAUAUAUAUAUAUAUGAAGAGGCACCCCUAGCUAGCCAGCUCACCAAGUUUUAUAUAUGAUUUACACAUCCUUUGAAUUGUCUCUCAUUUAAUUAGCUAACUUAUAUUGCUUCUGGGGGUAGCUAUAGAGGCUAAGAGGAAUAUGGGACUACAAGUUACUGAUAUCAUCAUGUGAUAUUGUACCGGUUGAUUUUUGUUCCUUGAUUUCCAUUGCCUAAGAUGACGGUACAUUAGGAGGCUGCUACUUUUUAGAGGUUAAGGAAAAUGUUGCUGCUGCUGUGCAGCUUGGGACCAAUGGCUACGAUGAGACGACUCUAGCAGAAAUUGAAGAUAUUCUGAGACCGGUGAAGAAUCAGACAUGGUGGAAUCCAGCAGAGCUGACAGUAUUGCUCUUGUAUGUAACCAUCUGUAUCUUGUACUUACAUUUUAUUGCUUUUCAGUUGCUUGUUAAGGCUCGGCAAAAAUAAAUAAAAGAUUGUGAGUUUGUAUACUUUUGGCUAAGAGAAACAUAAGCUGGGUUAAUUUGA